GCGGGUGUAGUACAAUGGCAGUAUGCGACCUUCCCAAGGUCGAGACACGGGUCCGAUUCCCGUCACCCGCU
rnacentral:tRNA from 1 species